AGAAUGACUCUCGGCAACGGAUAUCUAGGCUCUUGCAUCGAUGAAGAACGUAGCGAAAUGCGAUACUUGGUGUGAAUUGCAGAAUCCCGUAAACCAUCGAGUCUUUGAACGCAAGUUGCGCCCGAUGCCAUUAGGUUGAGGGCACGUCUGCCUGAGCGUCACAU
rnacentral:rRNA from 1 species